UUUCUGCUCAAACACAUCUGGAAAGUUUAUUAACCACAAUCGUCCGACUCACACUGGACAGAGCUCACAAAUGAACACUUGUAGCUUCAAAUCAAAAGGAAAAAAGAAAACACAGGUUUGCACUUUCAGCUGCUGUCACAACAACAGCCAAACUGCGUUUUUCUAGCCACUGGUUCCAGUCUACACGAGCACUGACAGCGUUCCACUCCGAUGCUCAUCCGCUGUUGGUCCCGAUGUUCACGCUGGGUGAACGGAAAACUCAUGCAUGAUAAAAAGAUUUACAGAAAGUAAAUGCGCUGCGGACACAGAGGAGGCAGCAAACACGAGAGAAAGCAGGAAACGUCCACGCGUCGGUGCUGGACCAAUAAAUAAUACAUUAGAGGAUCAGGGACAUCCUGUGGGGCGUGUGGAAAAACAACAACAACGAAAUAUUAAAUUAAAGGUGCUCAAAAAACUAUUUAUAGAAGAAAAUCUUUUGUGGCAUUUAUCAAUGUGGUCCAAAAAUCAAAUACAAAUCAAUGAAUUUAAUUGGGGGGGGGGGGUUGCAUCUAUAGACUUAUAUCUUAAAAAAAUAGAUCAGUGAUCAUUUCUGGAUUUGGUCAAAGUCUCUGCACAAAGAAAAAAAUGCCACGGCUGAAUCUCAGACGUACAAGAUUACAAUCAGUAGCUUUAUAAAGUGACAUCAUCAUCAUCACCACAGCGAUGGCUUUGAGACCACACAGCCCGAACGAGCUAAAGAUACAGACGGGCUGUUGGGUCGUGGACACGGGCGCGCGCACAGGAAGAGAAAUCACUCAAAAGAACACGUGACGAUCAGGGAGCGCAAUAAAAGCAGGAGCUGGCGCGUCGCACCUCACGGCGGUCGGGGUUUGAUUGUGUACUGCGACAUCUCUGCUGCGAGGUGCGACUAACUCGACCUGCUCGCUGCCGGACACAAAUUUAGAUUCUCGCAGUUUUGGAUAAACGAGGUGAAGAAAAAAGAAAACGCGUGAUUAUCGAUCCAAACAAACUUUAAAAGAACACAAAAGUUUUUUUGUUGGUUUUUACCCCAAUUCAAGCA
ensembl:lncRNA